AUUGAACGCUGGCGGCAGGCCUAACACAUGCAAGUCGAACGGUAACAGGGAUCAGCUUGCUGAUUCGCUGACGAGUGGCGGACGGGUGAGUAAUGUCUGGGAAACUGCCUGAUGGAGGGGGAUAACUACUGGAAACGGUAGCUAAUACCGCAUAACGUCGCAAGACCAAAGAGGGGGACCUUCGGGCCUCUUGCCAUCGGAUGUGCCCAGAUGGGAUUAGCUAGUAGGUGGGGUAACGGCUCACCUAGGCGACGAUCCCUAGCUGGUCUGAGAGGAUGACCAGCCACACUGGAACUGAGACACGGUCCAGACUCCUACGGGAGGCAGCAGUGGGGAAUAUUGCACAAAGGGCGCAAGCCUGAUGCAGCCAUGCCGCGUGUAUGAAGAAGGCCUUCGGGUUGUAAAGUACUUUCAGCGGGGAGGAAGGGAGUAAAGUUAAUACCUUUGCUCAUUGACGGUACCCGCAGAAGAAGCACCGGCUAACUCCGUG
rnacentral:rRNA from 1 species